rnacentral:siRNA from 1 species
UAUCACCUGCCAUCUUCCUCC